GACGAACGCUGGCGGCGUGCCUAAUACAUGCAAGUCGAACGCAGUGGGGACGGGUGAGUAACACGUUGGUAACCUCCCAUCAGAGGGGAUAACACUUGGCAACAGGUGCUAAACCGAUACUGAUGGAUGAACCCGCGGUGCAUUAGCUAGUUGGUGGGGUAACGGCUCACCAAGGCCACGAUCCAUAGCCGGCCUGAGAGGAUGAUCGGCCACACUGGGACUGAGACACGGCCCAGACUCCUACGGGAGGCAGCAGUGGGGAAUAUUCGGCAAUGGACGAAAGUCUGACCGAGCAACGCCGCGUGAGUGAAGAAGGUUUUCGGAUCGUAAAGCUCUGUUGUUAGAGAAGCGGUAUCUAAACAGAAAGCCACGGCUAACUACGUGCCAGCAGCCGCGGUAAUAC
rnacentral:rRNA from 1 species